ensembl:lncRNA
UGGACUGUAUGGAAGUUGAAUUUAAGGAAGUCUCUAUACCAAGUCUGUCACACAUGCUGUGAUGCUGUAAUUAACAAUAGAGACUUCCAUUGGAAGAAUGUCCUGGGACCCAACAUUCCAGUCUCGCCCUCUCUGAGGUGGGAAAGACCAGGGUUUGAGACUCUGAAUGAGGUCCAAAUGAACCAUUAACAUAACAUCUGCCCAAAGAAAGUUCCAUUCAAAGGAUAAGGAAGACCAGGCGCAUUAGUCUUCUACCCAGAAUCAAGGGAUGAGAGAAGGAGGACCAGUCCCUCAACCCGCUCUAGUGUCAGCAAGCUGCUGUUGCUCUUGAGAAGUCCUUUGUUACAAAAUCCCGUGGCACGGCUUUCUACAGAGAAUUGCCCCCUUUGAAGAUUUGCCCCAGUGGUCGUCGUGUUAGCUGCUUCGGUGAAGAAAUAAAAAGGCAUGCCUUAGAUCAACUAUUACUUAUGAAAGGACACCUAGACAUGAAUUCGAAAGGUUUACAUUGUCAAACCAGGGAAGGAGGCAGAGAAGGAAGAUUGUAUCCCUACCUCGGAACGCAGGGGCUAAGGAGCAAGCCAGAAACGUAAAGCCCGUGGCAUUUCCUAUGAGAGUCUUCUCUGGAAGCCAAAGAGGUGGGCAUUUAUGUUUGGUCUCUCUGGUUCAACAGAGUUCUGACACCAAGCUUAGUGUGGUACGUGGAGCAAAGAAGUUGCUGAAUACUUUCUAUGAGCCACUGGAACACUCACCCCACCCCACAACGAUUCUGCUAGCUCGAGCAAUCUAUUGUUCUACGCAGAAAACAAGAAGUGAAAAUGGACCUUGUUCCCACAUUCCUCUACAGUGGCACUUACCAUAUCACGUCCUAAUUCAGAGUUACAUAUCUCUAUCCGCCCCUAAACUUAGAGCUCCUUAAGAGUACAGGGGUAACUUUGGAGUCCACGUGUUGAACAUUCCCUGGGAAGAAACCUGAGUCUCUGAAUGACUCCAUGGAGCAGAGCCCUUUCACACCACCACACACCUACUCUCUGCUCACCUGUUGGUCUGUGAAAUGCAGCAGCAAAAGACCAUAAUGUGUUCAGACACCAAGGAUUUGGGGUUGUUUGUUACAGAAGAUAUCCUAUCCUGAUUUAUUCAAACAUUUAGCCCACAGUAAUGUUUAUUAAAUAGACCUGUGCAAGAAUGGACUGGUCACUUUGGCAACCUGGAAACUGUACUUCAUGCAAGCACCCCAGGAAUGUUUGUUACUCCGAAUGUGUAUCCAUAAUAUUGUCAGUAAGCCACAUUUGCCAAGAAACCCAGGAAAACACUGAAGUUUGCCAGCCUGGAAGAUAAUUCACAUCCCCAGAGUAAAAAAUGCUACUUAUCCGUUCUCAUCUCCAGGCCGCAUGCUAUAUCUGUAUUCACGUUUCAAUAUUGAUUCAAAAUAUCACUUACCUCUUUCAUUGUGGUUUCCUCUCCAAGAUUUAUUUCCUCAGAAAGGUUGGUUCCUCACCAUAGUUACAUAUUUCUGAGAUUAAGUCUUUCUACCUUGCCCUGCUAUUUUUUUCCUUGUUAUUUUACCACAUUAUGUCUUAUCAGUAAGAAUUGACAGCCCCCUGGGAAAGAACUGGUUUGAAAUGAUGUGCACAGUAAUCAGGUGCUUGUCUAAGGAUAUUUCCGUGCAAUGGGAGUUCCUUCAGUGUGGUCUGCAGCCCAGGAUCAUCAGCAUUACCCAGAGAAAUAAAGCAAUGCAGACUCUCAGGACCUAUCCCAGACCUACAGAAUCUAAAUCUUCAUCUUAACUAGAUCUCAAUGUGGUUCCUAUUGUUGAAAGAACUUUCUAGGCCCAAGAUGGAGCCACUCCUGCCCAGGGUGCCACGUCAGCAAACUGAAACUUAGAUAACUUUAGUAACCCCCUCAAUGUCAACUUAACUACAAACGCAGUACAUUCCAGUCAGCCAAUCCCCAAAAGCCAGGCCACCUCUGGGCUCUGUACUCACUUCCUCACUCCUUCUCACCCCAAGGCUGACUAUGUGUCCUAGCCAAUCAGAUAUUUUCUAUUUUCCUCUUCCUUGUUGGUUAUUCUUUAUCCUUUAAAAG